rnacentral:rRNA from 1 species
GGUUAAGCGACUAAGCGUACACGGUGGAUGCCCUGGCAGUCASAGGCGAUGAAGGACCGUGCUAAUCUGCGAUAAGCGUCGGUAAGGUGAUAUGAACCGUUAUAACCGGCGAUUUCCGAAUGGGGAAACCCAGUGUGWUUCGWCACACUAUCAUUAACUGAAUCCAUAGGUUAAUGAGGCGAACCGGGGGAACUGAAACAUCUAAGUACCCCGAGGAAAAGAAAUCAACCGAGAUUCCCCCAGUAGCGGCGAGCGAACGGGGAGGAGCCCAGAGCCUGAAUCAGUGUGUGUGUUAGUGGAAGCGUCUGGAAAGGCGCGCGAUACAGGGUGACAGCCCCGUACACAAAAAUGCACAURCUGUGAGCUCGAUGAGUAGGGCGGGACACGUGGUAUCCUGUCUGAAUAUGGGGGGACCAUCCUCCAAGGCUAAAUACUCCUGACUGACCGAUAGUGAACCAGUACCGUGAGGGAAAGGCGAAAAGAACCCCGGCGAGGGGAGUGAAAAAGAACCUGAAACCGUGUACGUACAAGCAGUGGGAGCACWBWKYWAUSKGUGUGACUGCGUACCUUUUGUAUAAUGGGUCAGCGACUUAUAUUCUGUAGCAAGGUUAACCGAAUAGGGGAGCCGAAGGGAAACCGAGUCUUAACYGGGCGUUAAGUUGCAGGGUAUAGACCCGAAACCCGGUGAUCUAGCCAUGGGCAGGUUGAAGGUUGGGUAACACUAACUGGAGGACCGAACCGACUAAUGUUGAAAAAUUAGCGGAUGACUUGUGGCUGGGGGUGAAAGGCCAAUCAAACCGGGAGAUAGCUGGUUCUCCCCGAAAGCUAUUUAGGUAGCGCCUCGUGAAUUCAUCUCCGGGGGUAGAGCACUGUUUCGGCAAGGGGGUCAUCCCGACUUACCAACCCGAUGCAAACUGCGAAUACCGGAGAAUGUUAUCACGGGAGACACACGGCGGGUGCUAACGUCCGUCGUGAAGAGGGAAACAACCCAGACCGCCAGCUAAGGUCCCAAAGUCAUGGUUAAGUGGGAAACGAUGUGGGAAGGCCCAGACAGCCAGGAUGUUGGCUUAGAAGCAGCCAUCAUUUAAAGAAAGCGUAAUAGCUCACUGGUCGAGUCGGCCUGCGCGGAAGAUGUAACGGGGCUAAACCAUGCACCGAAGCUGCGGCAGCGACACUGUGUGUUGUUGGGUAGGGGAGCGUUCUGUAAGCCUGUGAAGGUGURCUGUGAGGYAUGCUGGAGGUAUCAGAAGUGCGAAUGCUGACAUAAGUAACGAUAAAGCGGGUGAAAAGCCCGCUCGCCGGAAGACCAAGGGUUCCUGUCCAACGUUAAUCGGGGCAGGGUGAGUCCGACCCCUAAGGCGAGGCCGAAAGGCGUAGUCGAUGGGAAACAGGUUAAUAUUCCUGUACUUGGUGUUACUGCGAAGGGGGGACGGAGAAGGCUAUGUUGGCCGGGCGACGGUUGUCCCGGUUUAAGCGUGUAGGCUGGUUUUCCAGGCAAAUCCGGAAAAUCAAGGCUGAGGCGUGAUGACGAGGCACUACGGUGCUGAAGCAACAAAUGCCCUGCUUCCAGGAAAAGCCUCUAAGCAUCAGGUAACAUCAAAUCGUACCCCAAACCGACACAGGUGGUCAGGUAGAGAAUACCAAGGCGCUUGAGAGAACUCGGGUGAAGGAACUAGGCAAAAUGGUGCCCGUAACUUCGGGAGAAGGCACGCUGAUAUGUAGGUGAAGUCCCUCGCGGAUGGAGCUGAAAUCAGUCGAAGAUACCAGCUGGCUGCAACUGUUUAUUAAAAACACAGCACUGUGCAAACACGAAAGUGGACGUAUACGGUGUGACGCCUGCCCGGUGCCGGAAGGUUAAUUGAUGGGGUCAGCGCAAGCGAAGCUCUUGAUCGAAGCCCCGGUAAACGGCGGCCGUAACUAUAACGGUCCUAAGGUAGCGAAAUUCCUUGUCGGGUAAGUUCCGACCUGCACGAAUGGCGUAAUGAUGGCCAGGCUGUCUCCACCCGAGACUCAGUGAAAUUGAACUCGCUGUGAAGAUGCAGUGUACCCGCGGCAAGACGGAAAGACCCCGUGAACCUUUACUAUAGCUUGACACUGAACAUUGAGCCUUGAUGUGUAGGAUAGGUGGGAGGCUUUGAAGUGUGGACGCCAGUCUGCAUGGAGCCGACCUUGAAAUACCACCCUUUAAUGUUUGAUGUUCUAACGUGGACCCGUGAUCCGGGUUGCGGACAGUGUCUGGUGGGUAGUUUGACUGGGGCGGUCUCCUCCUAAAGAGUAACGGAGGAGCACGAAGGUUGGCUAAUCCUGGUCGGACAUCAGGAGGUUAGUGCAAUGGCAUAAGCCAGCUUGACUGCGAGCGUGACGGCGCGAGCAGGUGCGAAAGCAGGUCAUAGUGAUCCGGUGGUUCUGAAUGGAAGGGCCAUCGCUCAACGGAUAAAAGGUACUCCGGGGAUAACAGGCUGAUACCGCCCAAGAGUUCAUAUCGACGGCGGUGUUUGGCACCUCGAUGUCGGCUCAUCACAUCCUGGGGCUGAAGUAGGUCCCAAGGGUAUGGCUGUUCGCCAUUUAAAGUGGUACGCGAGCUGGGUUUAGAACGUCGUGAGACAGUUCGGUCCCUAUCUGCCGUGGGCGCUGGAGAACUGAGGGGGGCUGCUCCUAGUACGAGAGGACCGGAGUGGACGCAUCACUGGUGUUCGGGUUGUCAUGCCAAUGGCACUGCCCGGUAGCUAAAUGCGGAAGAGAUAAGUGCUGAAAGCAUCUAAGCACGAAACUUGCCCCGAGAUGAGUUCUCCCUGACCCUUUAAGGGUCCUGAAGGAACGUUGAAGACGACGACGUUGAUAGGCCGGGUGUGUAAGCGCAGCGAUGCGUUGAGCUAACCGGUACUAAUGAACCGUGAGGCUUAACCUU